UACAGAGGUCUCAAGCGUUGUUCGGAUUCAUUGGGCGUAAAGGGUGCGUAGGUGGCGGGGUAAGUCGGAUGUGAAAUCUCAGGGCUCAACCCUGAAACUGCAUUCGAUACUGCCUUGCUCGAGGACUGGAGAGGAGAUUGGAAUUCACGGUGUAGCGGUGAAAUGCGUAGAUAUCGUAAGGAAGACCAGUGGCGAAGGCGGGUCUCUGGACAGUUCCUGACGCUGAGGCACGAAGGCCAGGGGAGCAAACGGG
rnacentral:rRNA from 1 species